GUUGAUUUCACAAUAAGGCUUUUCACUGGAAACUUUGCAGAAUGUAAAAUACUGCAAAGGUUGGAAAUCUGAAAUAAGAACAAAAUAUGCUGGAACCUCACAGCAGCAAUCUCAGUGCUUGUGAUUUAUUACCAUAAUGCAAGAGAUUUUAAACUGGAUAUUUAAUAUGUCAGAUAUUCUGUGAUCUGGUAGUGAAUAAUACAGCUUGUGCUCACAAGGUCCUUGCAAGUGACAGCGAAAUGACACCUUCGAUGGCCAGACAUAUCAGUUCCUUUGUGACCUUACCAGCAACAGCAACAUCAAACUGGAGCUUUGA